GAUGAACGCUGGCGGUCUGCUUAACACAUGCAAGUCGAGCGGGCUCUUCGGAGCUAGUGGCGGACGGGUGAGUAACGCGUGAGAAUCUGCCUUCAGGAGGGGGAUAACGACUGGAAACGGUCGCUAAUACCCCAUAUGCCUCCGGGUGAAAAGUAAUUCGCCUGAAGAUGAGCUCGCGUCAGAUUAGCUAGUUGGUGGGGUAAGAGCCUACCAAAGCGACGAUCUGUAGCUGGUCUGAGAGGAUGAUCAGCCACACUGGGACUGAGACACGGCCCAGACUCCUACGGGAGGCAGCAGUGGGGAAUUUUCCGCAAUGGGCGCAAGCCUGACGGAGCAAGACCGCGUGGGGGAUGACGGCCUAAUGGUUGUAAACCCCUUUUCUCUGGGAAGAAGACUGACGGUACCAGAGGAAUCAGCCUCGGCUAACUCCGUGCCAGCAGCCGCGGUAAUACGGAGGAGGCAGCGUUAUCCGGAAUUAUUGGGCGUAAAGCGUCCGUAGGUGGUUAUUCAAGUCUGCUGCCAAAGCGUGGGGCUUAACUUCCAUCGAGGCAGUGGAAAACUGAGUGACUAGAG
rnacentral:rRNA from 1 species